UACGGAGGAUCCAAGCGUUAUCCGGAAUCAUUGGGUUUAAAGGGUCCGUAGGCGGGUCUGUAAGUCAGUGGUGAAAUCUCCCGGCUCAACCGGGAAACUGCCAUUGAUACUGCAGGUCUUGAAUGUUUGUGAAGUAACUAGAAUAUGUAGUGUAGCGGUGAAAUGCUUAGAUAUUACAUGGAAUACCGAUUGCGAAGGCAGGUUACUAACAAAUGAUUGACGCUGAUGGACGAAAGCGUGGGGAGCGAACAGGAUUAGAUACCCUGGUAGUCCACGCCGUAAACGAUGGAUACUAGCUGUCGGACUGUAAGGUUCGGUGGCUAAGCGAAAGUGAUAAGUAUCCCACCUGGGGAGUACGGCCGCAAGGCUGAA
rnacentral:rRNA from 1 species